rnacentral:lncRNA from 1 species
CUUGUGACAAGGGCAGGGAACCGGUAACUGUCAGAUGGCCUGACUGGGAAAGAGAGCCCGUGAGUGAGCCUCCUUCUGUUCCCCCAGGACUGCCCUACCCAGCUCCCAGAAGCUGGAGCCUUCUCCCAACAGGCAGAGUCUCCUUGCACCUGAGGACAUCCAGACCCUUCAUCUGGAGCCUGGAAAGCCACAGCCACAGCAGGAUGAGGAAGAACAGCAGAAACUGCCCCCGCAGCCCCCCUACUAUGAUCUGGGGGCCUCCCCUUCCUACCACCCCUGGAUGAGAAAUGAGGCUCGGGUGGGUUGAAUAAUCUGACCAGCCACAGCAAGUGGCCCAGCUAAACCUUCAAAGCCAGUUCUUCUGAUUCCAAGUUCAACUUUAUGCCACUG